rnacentral:tRNA from 1 species
GGGGUUGUGGCUCAGAGAAAGAGUGCUUGCCUAGCGUGCAUGAGGCACUGGGUUCAAUCCUCAGCACCACA